GAGGGUGAAGUAUUUGAUAGUAUAUCUCAGUUACAUUGAGAAGGACCACAAUAUUUGGCACUCUUU